ACUUCGUGCCAGCAGCCGCGGUAAUACGAAGGGACCUAGCGUAGUUCGGAAUUACUGGGCUUAAAGAGUUCGUAGGUGGUUGAAAAAGUUGGUGGUGAAAUCCCAGAGCUUAACUCUGGAACUGCCAUCAAAACUUUUCAGCUAGAGUUUGAUAGAGGAAAGCAGAAUUUCUAGUGUAGAGGUGAAAUUCGUAGAUAUUAGAAAGAAUACCAAUUGCGAAGGCAGCUUUCUGGAUCAUUACUGACACUGAGGAACGAAAGCAUGGGUAGCGAAGAGGAUUAGAUACCCUCGUAGUCCAUGCCGUAAACGAUGUGUGUUAGACGUUGGAAAUUUAUUUUCAGUGUCGCAGCGAAAGCAUAAACACACCGCCUGGGGAGUACGACCGCAAGGUUAAAACUCAAAUGAAUUGACGGGGACCCGCACAAGUAGUGGAGCAUGUGGUUUAAUUCGAAGAUACGCGCAGAACCUUACCAACACUUGACAUGUUCGUCGCGACUUUAAGAGAUUAAAGUUUUCGGUUCGGCCGGACGAAACACAGGUGCUGCAUGGCUGUCGUCAGCUCGUGUCGUGAGAUGUUGGGUUAAGUCCCGCAACGAGCGCAACCCUCACUUUUAGUUGCCAUCAUUAAGUUGGGCACUCUGAAAGAACUGCCAGUGAUAAGCUGGAGGAAGGUGGGGAUGACGUCAAGUCCUCAUGGCCCUUACGUGUUGGGCUACACACGUGCUACAAUGGCAUUUACAAUAGGAAGCAAGAUGGCGACGUCAAGCAAAUCCUAAAAAGAUGCCUCAGUUCGGAUUGUACUCUGCAACUCGAGUACAUGAAGCUGGAAUUACUAGUAAUCGCGGAUCAGCGCGCCGCGGUGAAUACGUUCCCGGGUCUUGUACACACCGCCCGUCACACCAUGGGAGUUGGUUCUACCUUAAGGCAAGGUUUAAUACCCUUGACCACGGUAUAGUCAGCGACUGGGGUGAAGUCGUAACAAGGUAGCCGUAGGGGAACCUGCGGCUG
rnacentral:rRNA from 1 species